ACUCCUACGGGAGGCAGCAGUGGGGAAUUUUGCGCAAUGGGGGAAACCCUGACGCAGCAACGCCGCGUGAGUGAUGAAGGCCCUUGGGUCGUAAAGCUCUGACAGAGGGAAAGAAAUGUGGGUGGCUAAUAUCCAUUCCACUUGACGGUACCCUCAAAGGAAGCACCGGCUAACUCCGUGCCAGCAGCCGCGGUAAUACGGAGGGUGCGAGCGUUGUUCGGAUUUAUUGGGCGUAAAGCGCGUGUAGGCGGUUUUAUAAGUCUGAUGUGAAAGCCCCGGGCUCAACCUGGGAAGUGCAUUGGAUACUGUAAGACUUGAAUACGGGAGAGGGCAGUGGAAUUCCUGGUGUAGGAGUGAAAUCCGUAGAUAUCAGGAGGAACACCGGUGGCGAAGGCGGCUGCCUGGACCGAUAUUGACGCUGAGACGCGAAAGCGUGGGUAGCAAACAGGAUUAGAUACCCUGGUAGUCCACGCUGUAAACGAUGAGAACUAGGUGUUGCGGGUA
rnacentral:rRNA from 1 species